UUGUUGUCUCAAAGAUUAAGCCAUGCAUGUCUAAGUAUAAGCAACUAUACAGUGAAACUGCGAAUGGCUCAUUAAAUCAGUUAUCGUUUAUUUGAUAGUACCUUACUACUUGGAUAACCGUGGUAAUUCUAGAGCUAAUACAUGCUAAAAAUCCCGACCUCUGGAAGGGAUGUAUUUAUUAGAUAAAAAACCAAUGCCCUUCGGGGCUCCUUUGGUGAUUCAUGAUAACUUAACGAAUCGCAUGGCCUUGCGCCGGCGAUGGUUCAUUCAAAUUUCUGCCCUAUCAACUUUCGAUGGUAGGAUAGUGGCCUACCAUGGUUUCAACGGGUAACGGGGAAUUAGGGUUCGAUUCCGGAGAGGGAGCCUGAGAAACGGCUACCACAUCCAAGGAAGGCAGCAGGCGCGCAAAUUACCCAAUCCCAAUUCGGGGAGGUAGUGACAAUAAAUACUGAUACAGGGCUCUUUUGGGUCUUGUAAUUGGAAUGAGUACAAUUUAAAUCUCUUAACGAGGAACAAUUGGAGGGCAAGUCUGGCCCCAGCAGCCA
rnacentral:rRNA from 1 species